rnacentral:rRNA from 1 species
UACAGAGGUCUCAAGCGUUGUUCGGAUUCAUUGGGCGUAAAGCGCGUGUAGGCGGCUCGGUAAGUCCGCUGUGAAAAGUCGGGGGCUCAACCUCGAGACGCCGAUGGAAACCAUCUAACUAGAGUCCGGAAGAGGAGAAUGGAAUUCCUGGUGUAGCGGUGAAAUGCGCAGAUAUCAGGAAGAACACCCGUGGCUAAGGCGGUUCUCUAGUACGGUACUGACGCUGAGACGCGAAAGCGUGGGGAGCGAACAGG